CGGGACGGGUGAGUAACGCGUGGGUAACCUGCCUCAUACAGGGGGAUAACGAUUGGAAACGAUUGCUAAUACCGCAUAAGCGCACAGUACCACAUGGUACAGUGUGAAAAACUCCGGUGGUAUGAGAUGGACCCGCGUCUGAUUAGCUAGUUGGUGGGGUAGCGGCCCACCAAGGCAACGAUCAGUAGCCGACCUGAGAGGGUGACCGGCCACAUUGGGACUGAGACACGGCCCAG
rnacentral:rRNA from 1 species